rnacentral:snRNA from 1 species
GUACUUCCAUUGACGACUACUUUG